UACCAAAUAAGCGAAACUUGAGAACCAAAGACUGUUUACCUGUGGCAUGAAAUAGGAAAUAAGUUUAGAUCAAAAUUUUCCUAAAUUUAAUGUAACCGAAAAGUUGAUUAAACAUGAUGAUUUUUUUCACUGCCGUCGUUCUUUUAUCAAUAUUUUGUUCAGGUUUUUGCUGUGAGACCAGAAAUAGUGGAUGAUAUUUUACCAGAGGUUAAAAAACAAGGUCAAACAGCAUACCUGAAUUGUUCUGUCAUAAAUUUACAGUCUCCAGCACAGUUGCAAUGGAUUAAACAGGCCACCCCAACUGGUCUCCCUCAACACAUUUCCUCAGAUGAAACUGUUCGUAUUAAUGAAGUUGUUAAAGGAAGAAGAAAAUAUGAUGUGGUGAAAUACAGAACAAGCAAUCGUGAAAUAUACCAACU